rnacentral:piRNA from 1 species
UUUUUUUUCGAAUUGUUUGGG